rnacentral:rRNA from 1 species
UACGUAGGGUGCGAGCGUUGUCCGGAAUUAUUGGGCGUAAAGAGCUUGUAGGCGGUCUGUCGCGUCUGCUGUGAAAAUCCGGGGCUCAACCCCGGACUUGCAGUGGGUACGGGCAGACUAGAGUGUGGUAGGGGGGACUGGAAUUCCUGGUGUAGCGGUGAAAUGCGCAGAUAUCAGGAAGAACACCAAUGGCGAAAGCAGCUCUCUGGGACGGUACUGACGCUGAGACGCGAAAGCGUGGGGAGCGAACAGG